ACGAACGCUGGCGGCGUGCUUAACACAUGCAAGUCGAACGGAAAGGCCUUUUCGGAGGUACUCGAGUGGCGACCGGGUGAGUAACACGUGGGUGAUCUGCCCUGCACUCUGGGAUAAGCCUGGGAAACUGGGUCUAAUACCGGAUAGGACCGCACUUUAGUGUGUGUGGUGGAAAGUUUUUUCGGUGUAGGGUGAGCCCGCGGCCUAUCAGCUUGUUGGUGGGGUAAUGGCCUACCAAGGCGGCGACGGGUAGCCGGACUGAGAGGUUGGUCGGCCACAUUGGGACUGAGAUACGGCCCAGACUCCUACGGGAGGCAGAAGUGGGGAAUAUUGCACAAUGGGCGCAAGCCUGAUGCAGCGACGCCGCGUGGGGGAUGACGGCCUUCGGGUUGGAAACUCCUUUCGCCAGGGACGAAGCGUUUUGUGACGGUACCUGGAGAAGAAGCACCGGCUAACUACGUG
rnacentral:rRNA from 1 species